UACGUAGGCAGCAAGCGUUGUUCGGAAUUACUGGGCGUAAAGAGUGUGUAGGCGGUGCUCUUAGUUUGGUGUGAAAUCUCCCGGCUCAACUGGGAGGGUGCGCCGAAAACUGGAAUGCUUGAACGUGGGAGAGGAAAGCGGAAUUCCUGGUGUAGCGGUGAAAUGCGUAGAUAUCAGGAGGAACACCUGCGGUGUAGACGGCUUUCUGGACCAUUGUUGACGCUGAGACACGAAAGCGUGGGUAGCAAACAGG
rnacentral:rRNA from 1 species